rnacentral:rRNA from 1 species
GAUGAACGCUGGCGGCGUGCCUAAUACAUGCAAGUCGAGCGAGCAGACGAGGAGCUUGCUCCGCUGACGUUAGCGGCGGACGGGUGAGUAACACGUGGAUAACCUACCUAUAAGACAGGGAUAACUUCGGGAAACCGGAGCUAAUACCGGAUAAUAUAUUGAACCGCAUGGGGCAAGAGUGAAAGACGGUUUUGGUGUGAGUUAUAGACGGAUCCGCGCCGCAUUAGCUAGUUGGUAAGGUAACGGCUUACCAAGGCGGGGAUGGGUAGCCGACCUGAGAGCGUCGUCGCGCACCCGGGAACUGAGACAGGUUCCACACUCCUGCGGUGGGCCGCAGUAGGGACUCUUCCGCGAUGGACGAAUGCCUGACGGAGCACAGCCGGGUGAGUGAUGAAGGUCCUCGGAUCGUAAAGCGCUGUUAUUAGGAAAGUACAAAUGUGUAAGUAACUGUGCCCGUCUUGACGGUACCUAAUCAGAAAGCCACGGCUAACUACGUG